rfam:Ovis aries breed Texel chromosome 2, whole genome shotgun sequence.
UCCCUGCUGGCUCAGAGGUUAAAGCAUCUGCCUCCAAAGCAGGAGACCCAGGUUCAAUCCCUGGGUUGGGAA